rnacentral:rRNA from 1 species
CCUACGGGUGGCAGCAGUGAGGAAUAUUGGUCAAUGGACGAGAGUCUGAACCAGCGAAGUAGCGUGAAGGAUGACUGCCCUCUGGGUUGUAAACUUCUUUUAUAUGGGAGUAAAAUGUUCCACGUUUGGGCUUUUGUAUGUACCAUAUGAAUUACGAUCGGCUAACUCCGUGCCAGCAGCCGCGGUAAUACGGCGGAUCCGAGCGUUAUCCGGAUUUAUUGGGUGUAAAGGGAGCGUAGGUGGAUUGUUAAGUCAGUUGUGAAAGUUUGCGGCUCAACCGUAAAAUUGCAGUUGAAACUGGCAGGCUUGAGUACAGUAGAGGUGGGCGGAAUUCGUGGUGUAGCGGUGAAAUGCUUAGAUAUCACGAAGAACUCCGAUUGCGAAGGCAGCUCACUGGACUGCAACUGACACUGAGGCUCGAAAGUGUGGGUAUCAAACAGGAUUAGAUACCCUUGUAGUC